CUAGUUUCAGAUUGUUCGAGUGUCAAAAGCAUUGUUUUCUUCAUUUUGUUGAUAGAUCUGGGGGUUCUGUUGGGAAAUGGAAGAUAUCCUUAAAAAAACAGCACCACCUACAAUAAUAACGUGCAACAUCUCUUCCUGGAAUGCAUUCUGUCAUUGUUCUCCUAGUGGAUGUCAGGAUCUUCCUGUUCAAGAAGCAGCUCCAGGCAUAUCAUUUACUAAGAGACAAAGUGAAGAAGAGGAAAGAAGGGGAAUAAAAAAAGAUAAAAAUAAAGAUGUGAUUUCCAAAAUAUAUCACUAUUCAUACUGCACUCCUAG
rnacentral:lncRNA from 1 species